UACGGAGGGUGCAAGCGUUGUUCGGAAUCACUGGGCGUAAAGGGCGUGUAGGCGGUCCGCUAAGUCUGAUGUGAAAGCCCGGGGCUCACCCCCGGAAGGGCAUUGGAAACUGGCGGACUCGAGUCUCGGAGAGGAAGGUGGAAUUCCUGGUGUAGCGGUGAAAUGCGUAGAUAUCAGGAGGAAUACCGGUGGCGAAGGCGGUUCUCUGGGCAUUACCUGACGCUGAGGAGCGAAAGUGUGGGGAGCGAACAGG
rnacentral:rRNA from 1 species